rnacentral:lncRNA from 1 species
CAGGCUAGGGGUCGAAUUGGAGCUACAGCUGCUGGCAUACACUACAGCCACAGCAAUGCCAGAUCUGAGCCGCAUCUGUGACCUACACCACAGCUCACGGCAACACCGGAUCCCUAACCCACUGAGCGAGGCAAGGGAUUGAACCUGCACUCUCAUGAUUCCAAGAAAGAUUCAUUUCUGUUGCACCACAAUGGGAACUCUUACAACUGGAUUUUUAAAAAUUGAAUCUAGGAGUUCCUGGCUCAGCAUUUUAAGGACCUGACAUUGUCUCUGUGAGGAUGCAGGGUGAUCCCUGGCCUUGCUCAGUGGGUUAAGGAUCUGGCAUAGGUGCAAGCUGUGCUGUACGCCACAACUGCAGCUCCAAUUUGGCCCCUGUCCUGGGAACUGCUACAUGCCACAGGUGCAGGUAUAAAAAGAAAAAAAAAUUGAAUCAAAAGGUCUUCAUCUUUAAACAGACAAUUUUCUUUUUUGGUUCUAUCUGAGUUAAGUAGAAAUUCCCUGGGCCAGGGAUCAAACCCGCAUCAUAGCAGUGACCCCAGCUGCUGCAGUGACAACGCCAGAUCCUUAACGCAUGGCACCACAAGGGAACUGCUUAACAGGCAGUUUAAGUGUUUUUUGUUUGUUUGUUUGUUUGUUUGUUUUUGUCUUUCUUUACUAUUUCUUGGGCUGCUCCUUCGGCAUAUGGAGGUUCCCAGACUAGGGGUCCAAUCAGAGCUGUAGCCACCGGCCUAUGCCAGAGCCACAGCAACACAGGAUCCGAGCCAUGUCUACAACCUACACCACAGCUCACGGCAACGCUGGAUCCUUAACCCACUGAGCAAGGGCAGGGACCGAACCCGCAACCUCAUGGUUCCUAGUCAGAUUCAUUAACCACUGCGCCACGACGGGAACUCCAGUUUAAGUGUUUUUUAAAAAUUUAUUGAGACUUCUAAUAUGUUCAGUACCUUUCUACUGUUAUUUUAUAUUUGCAAAUUACAAUUCUUUUUUUUUUUCUUUUUUAGUGCCAUACCCUCAGCAUAUGGAGGUUCCCAGGCUAGGGGUUGAAUCGGAGCUGUAGCUGCCAGCCUACACUACAGCCACAAAAACACAGGAUCUGAGCCAUGUCUGUGACCUACACCACAGCUCAUGGCAACACUGGAUCCUUAACCCACUGUGCAAGGCCAGGGAUCGAACCUGCAUCCUCAUGGAUACUAGUCAGAUUGGUUAACCAUUGAGCCACAACAGGAACUUCUGUAUAAUACAAUUUUAUCAUCUUAGUGCCUUUGCUCAUCUUUAACACAUCGCUUGUCUUGAAAGUGUAACAUUAACCAAUACCAUCAUCCCCCUCCCCAAAGUGGAAGGACUUUAUGACACUUCAAAUCCAACCUUUGGCCUCACAUCUUCCAGGUUAUUGCAGAAGAGUAUUGUAGUGUUACCUUGUUUUUAAGAUGCUCCCUCCUGAAAUUUAGCCAUCAGGAUUAUCAUCUUGGAUUUCUCAUACCUUUUCUCCCCCUCCUCUAUUUAAAUAUUUCAUUAGACUCGUUAUGGUCCUGAAUUAUUCCAUGAACUCCAGCUCUUGAUUUUCUAAUUGACGAUUUUUGUCUGCUGAGCCUUCCUCACAAUGGGUUGUUAAUCUGCAUGGUUUGUAAUUUUGAACUCUGUGUGUGUGUGUACAUGUGGGGUGGGGGUUCCCACUCCAUUUCUGAUUGUGGAAAUGUCCUGCCAAGCUUUGCUUUUUCUUCUGCCUGAAUCACUUGUCACCAUUUCUGGAUUUGUUUUUAUUUUAAUUACUUGGAUUAGAAUUCCUGGUGCACAUAUGUAGACUGGCACAGUCUCUGGUUUUUAAAUUCUUUUUCUUUUUCUUUUUCUUUUUUUUGAAACUGGGCCCCGGGCAGAGGUUAAGCCUCCUCCCCUCUGUGGGCCGGCAUGCAGUGGUUCCAGGGCCCAUCUCUAUUUCUUCUCGGUGUUCCAUGCCUCCCAAGGAUCUGAACCCAGACACCAACUCCCUGUGUGAACAUUAGCCCCCAGCCCCGGGGGUCUCCACCACUUCAGUCCCCACUCAUCACUCUGCCUGAAGGACCCUCUAGCUCGGAUACCUGAGAAUUUCCGCUUUCCAGCUUGGCUGUGAUAAGAUUUCUCUGUUGCUGUGUUUUGUCCAGUAUUUCUGCAUAUCUGGAGGGGGGGUGGCCCGUUCUACACUGGGCCAGUCUUUCACGACUGUAAACUAUCUGACCUCACGUUCUUGCAUGGGCGGAAGCUCACUUUCAUUUCUUCAGUCAGCAAAUGUCACUGAGUCAGCUGGAUCUGAGGGCUACAGUGCAGAAUCUAGAGACUGCAUCCGGCACUCUAGGCAAGGACCAGGCCUGAGGAAGAAAUGUAAAUUUGCAAUUCUAGCAAAGGCGGCCAAGGAAAGGCACGUUAUUCUGAGACAGAGAGUCCUCCAACUGGAGCCUGACUCAGUCGGUGGUCAGGAAAGAAGCUGCCCAGAUGUCACAGAGGCCAGAGGUGGGGCUGUCACCAGGGCCCUCCCUCCUCCCCUUCCUCCCCUCCCCACUUCACAGUGUGAACCCCGCUGAUCUGGAAGCUAACUCUCUCUACCAGGUAGCCCUGCGACACCAGGGGUGAUUAAACCCUGCAGAUGUGGGGGUGGGUGGCAAAGGGCAGGACUUCCCCUGGCAUGAUGCCCUAAAGUACUGAGAAAUACCCCCAAGUAUGAUGCCAUAUAUGCUGUGAACCAGAAAAAAAAGGGAUGUGAAAGACUUGUAUGUAGAACAUUGCACCUGGUGUAUUUUGACUAGAGGGAUGGAGGGGAAAAAAAAAAAAGCCAGAACUGUAUUUCUUUUGUCCUGGGGGUCAUGAGUUGGAGAUUUCUUCUCCUUCCAAAUGAUAACCAGAAAAAAAGGGGUCCUCAAUUAUUCUCUAAGUAAAAUUUCAGGUCAUUCAGAUAGCCAGUGGGGUAAUGAAGGAAGCAUGGUGAGGAUUUGGCUUUUUAAAGGAGAGGGUACUGGCGGGGGAGAACCACAGCCCAGCUCUCGCUCUGACUUUCUGGUGGGCCCAGGGCUCUGGGCACCUGGGAGCCAGCCCCCUUUUCUGUAAGGUUAGGAAGCUGCCCCGGGGCUGGAAGGACCCGUUCUAUCUCUGGUGUCAGAGGAAGUGGCCUCCCCAGGUGAAAGCCCAGCUGCCCUGCACCCAGGUCCCCAGUGAGCUAAGGUCCCUUGGGGCUCCACACCCAUAUUCACAGGGCUGCAGAGCAGCUGGGCCGCUCACCUCCACACCCCCCACUUCCUGUCACCCAUUAACCCAGGAUCCAACACCCUCCGUCAGGAAUUUUUCUCAUCCUCAAAUCCAUCUUUGCAGCCAGCUCUGCCCGGGGGUGCCAAGAAAUGCAGCCUCUGCGUCAUGAACCGAGGGACUGAGUGUAUGCCUCCUUGAUGUCUACUAACCUGCCCACUUGGGUGGUGGGAAGUGAGGGCCUGGUCUCCCUUUGGAACUUCCUUUUUUGGACACAGAUUGCUGACCAAUCCCUUGCAGGACUGUGCUAAUCCAGGGCUGGCCCCGAGCCUCCUCCCAUUCUGCUGACCCAGUUUAUAACCCUGGAGGCAGGGCCAAGAAGCUGAAAAGAUAGAGCCCGGGGCCCUGCCGGUGCCUGAGCUUCCCAGGGCCUCGUCCCCCUCCCCUUCCCCCACCCCGAGCCAACCUGUCCUCCCCUUUCCACUUCCUGGGCCGUGAGUCACCCAGCAGCUCCCUCUCAGCAUGGCAGGUAUGUGUCACUUCCUUAUGCUGGUGGAGACCCAGACUUUGAGCGUGUCCCCCUCCCCCAGCACCUGUGACUUGUCUAAUCUGAUGGAAUAGGGCUGAAAGGGUUGGACCCUCAAGGCCAUGGCAGCAUCCUGGUCGGCAUUUAUUGUUGGGCUGAAUUUAUCUGGCACCUGGGGAGGGCCUUCUUUGUUUUCACUGGGAGGUAUCUAGGAGAAGCAAGGGCCUGGGACAGUCUGCUUCAUCGUGUUCUCUGCCACCCCCACAUUCAGCCCCCCAUCCCAUUCCCCAGAACCGCUCUGCUCACCCCUCACCUUCGCCCCCAGUAAUGCAGCAAUGCUCCUGUGGUCUUGGGUCAGCGCCUUUAUGUCAGCCUGCCGCCUCCCUGGGGAGGCCAGCAGGUUGAUGCAGAGCCCCGGGAUUGGGCAGGAGGGACCCAGCCUCACUGGUUCAUCACUUUCAGUCCUGGUCCUGGCCUCCCUAUCAGACUUGGAUGAGAGAGAUCAGCCAGCUGGCCAAGAGCCACUCACAUGUGAAACCUCAAGCCACCAGGUAGAAAUAAGGGUCAGAAAGUGCAGGCAUCUUGCUGCUCUGUCGGCACUGUCACACUUCUUUGUGAUAAAGGACACCCAUGAUACCCACGCAGCCAGAGUUGGCUGGGAAUUCUUCUGACAGGGGCUCUUGACUCAGGUCUUCCAAGGAGAGCCACCAUCCUGCUGCUCAUGGGCAGUGGGGACAGUCCAGGGUAUCCUGCUGAGCCCUGGGAAGUCUCCCUGGUGAGGUAGGGACAGCCUGGGCCAGUGCAGUCUAGGAGGCCAUGGGACUUCUCUGGUCCUGGACCCAGUUCUGAGGGCCCUGUCUUGAACUAGAGGGCGAGGGCUUGCUAGAAGGAUAUAGGGAGAUGGAAAUCUCGUGAGAACUGUUUGAAGGACUGGAGACAACGUGGAGGAGCAGAUGAGCUGUUUCCUGAUAUGGAAAGGCUGUUUGUUGAGAGUGAGAAGUGCUUUGUUACAUGUAUGUCCAGGCGGCAGACCCAGAAGUCAUAGAAAAGUAGAUCUGGGCUGAGUAGAAAAGAAGGCUUGGUAUAAUGAGAGCCCUGAACAAUGGGCCAGGCUGCUGACAUUUUGAGACAGUGAGUUCCCUGUCACGAGAAGAAUUCAAGCAGGAGUUAGUCUAGAGCGAGCUCCUGCGCUGGGCUGAAGCUUGGGCUGCAUCAUCUUCCCCAUGCUCGCUUCCUGGGAUCUCUGAUUGGGGUCUAGCUCUGCCUUUCUUCCAAGUCCACUAUGUUCCCAC